rnacentral:lncRNA from 1 species
UGAUAUUAGUAUCAUCGUUUUGCUAGUUGCCAGAAAUGAUAUUCAAUUUGUAUGACUUAGUUAGUUAAUUCAUAAUUAAAAUUUUGAUUUUCAAGUUUUUCCAUUUGACAAGGAAAAAACUUUCCACAUUUUUUUCUGUUUUAUAUAUAUUUUCUUUGCAUAAUUUGACACUAAAAGUUGAUAAAUUUGUAAUCUUAAAAAGAUCUAUUAUUAUGAAAUACUGAAUUGAAAUGCUGUUUGGUUUAUAUUUUUCUUUAUCUAUAUAUUAUAACAAACAAAACAUAAAUUAUAAAAAUUCAAAAAAAAUUAACUUUUUCAAAACUAUACCUGAGUCAACUAGUAUGUCUUAGACGACAAGCUUAUUUUUCAAAUUUAUUUUUAUAAAUAUUUGUUUAUCGCAAAUGAAUAUUUUAUGUCUAUUUUUAUAAUUUCAAAUACUUUAUUUAGGAAUGCUAUAUUUUUAAUGACUUUUCCAAAAACUUGAAUUCGGAAAGUUUUCGUUUUUCUAUCUGUAACGUAAAUAUAGUCUUUCUCCAAAUAAUAACAAUAGUGCUUCAAAUAAUUUAAGCUGAUUUUCAUCAGUUUUUCUUUUCAUUGUUCUAAAAUAGGGCUAUCCAGCUAGUGGCUACUAUGCCAAGUUUGCCCUGCCUAAUUUUAUCUGAUCCAACUAGUGGAGUUUAAAAAUAUAAGGAAAUAGUCAAAAUAGAUUAACAGAAUAAAAUUACAACAAAGACAGAAUAAUAGAAAAUGAUCACUAUUUAAAGCACAGAAAAUUUGUAGUUCAGAACCGUGUGAGGACCAAGAUAGGUUGAAGUUUAGAAUCAGAAGAAGUGAUUGUAAUAGCAUGUCUUAUUAUUUUUUCUAACUUCAAAUAAUGAAUAUUGACCAAUUUCUGACAUAAUUACCAUUGUAUGACGUUUUCAUAUAGCUAAACAUUUUUAAAAUUCUCCUAUACUGCACAUAAUUAUGGUCAUACGAACACAACAUUUUUGAUUUCCUAAUAAUCUGAUAUAAAUUUGCUAGUUUUAUUUUUAGCUAAUUUAGUUGCAAACCACACUUCGGAAAGAGAUUCUUUACACCCUGCAGCAUGACAAGGAAAUAGAUAAAAUAUUCUCACAAGAAAGAAUACAUGGGUACAGUAACAGUUUCCUGAAUAAAAUAUGUUAUCUUCAGUAACAAAGUUUGAAUUCAAAACAACUCCAUCAGAAGGUGUCAAGUAUAAAGUUUAACUAUCGGUCACUCUUACAAACUGCAUAUAAAGAAAUAGAAAAUGCUUCAGGUUAAUACCUGUAAUAUUAUUCAUUAAGAUAGCCUUCAAAAAGAACAAUUUUAUCUUUUCAAUAUUUAGGAAUGACAAAGACAUGUAAUGUGAAGAGGGAAAAAACAAGAGUUUACAAAAUUCUGAUUACCAGUCUAGACCUCAAUCAAGAAGAAAAGUAUAUCAGAUACUCAGGCUGCAACCUAGAUGACAGAAUAAACAUGAAAAAUAUAGAAAAGGGUGAAACUAGUACUGCAUUCUGUGUUAGAGUAUUAAAAUAUAACAUUAAUGGAAGGAAGUGAAAGUGCUGAAA